AGAUUAGAGAUGAGGACCUAACUCCAAAGAGUAACUCUUUGCUGAAGUGACUUCACAGAGGGAAGUAAGCAGUAAUUCAACUCAGCCUUAGAUAGAAAGCUUUUCUAUGAAUAAUGGGAAAUAAAGUUAAAGGAAAUGAUGCAAAUAAAGCAAGAAAAAAAUACUGAUGAUCAGAAAAAAGAAAAGUAUUUGAGGUCUGAAAGAUCCUCAAAAUAGAGAAGAGCCAAUGACUUCAUACACCGAAUCGGCUAAAUCCUGUCUCACAUUUUCACUGUAGCCAGAAGAGCCACUCUGGUCAAGUAGAAACCCUGAAGUUUGCCGUCAUUUCAUCCAGGGUCUGCAGGUUCUCAUUUUGUGGCCCAGGAUGAAGUGCAGUGACACAACUGAACCUCACUGCUGACCCCUGAACUCCUGCGCUCAAGUGAUCCUUCCACCGCAGCCUUCUGAGUAGAUGGGACUACAGGCGUGCACCACCAUACCUGGCUAAUUAAAAAAAAUUUUUGUAGAGUCGAGGUCUUGCUAUGUUGCCUAGGUUGGUCUUCCACUCCUGGCCUCAAGUGAUCCUCUCACCACUCAGUAGGCGAGAGCCACUGCACCC
rnacentral:lncRNA from 10 species